rnacentral:tRNA from 1 species
GGAGGCGUGCCAGAGUGGACUAAUGGGCUCGUCUUGAAAACGAGUGUAGCCUGAUAAAGGCUACCAGAGGUUCGAAUCCUCUCGCCUCCG